CGAGAUGGAGUCGGUAAAGACAUCAGGGAUGUGCAAUCACAGGCAUCUAAUAAUUUUAUGCUUGGUGGAAGCUUCGGAAUUUUUUGAAGUUGCUCACACUGCCUCACCAAAAGAACUUUCAGAUUAGAAAGUUUACUGAUGUCUGCAGGUAUGCUAACCAUAUAGUUUCUGCUGAGAUUUAAUACUUCCAGACGCUCCAAGUGGCAAAGCUUGUUAUCGAUUGUUCCUUCCAUUCAAUUGCAGUCACUUAGAUCUAAAUUUUCUAUGAAGUGUAGACCUGACAAAGAAGGCAACUGCAAACCAAUCCCAUCUGAAUUUUUUCUAUGCAGUAACCUGUAUAUAAGGGAUGAGAUCCAGAAGUUAGAUGUUGAUCCUUUGCAUCCACUAAAUGAUAACUCUGUAAGGUUUGUCAAAUGAACAAGUGAGAUAGGUGGUUUUGUUAUGGCAGUUCCAUCAGCUUGAAGCCUUCUUAAGCAUUGCAACAUUCCCAGGUCCUCUGGCAAUCUGUUGAGUUUUGAACAACUAGAAACAAUGAGGGUUUCAAGAGAUUUCAAAUCACAAAUGCUAUUUGGAAGACUCCUGAGGUCUUUGCAUUUCCUCAGAUUCAGUAACACAAGACCUUUGAGAUGAAGAAUUGAACGGGGCAGCUCUCUUAUAGACGUUCCAUCUAAAAGAAGCUUUUCUAAAUGUUCCAUAACUUCCGUGAUUUCUGGAAAUCUCUCUAGUUUUGAACAGCCAGAAAGGAUAAGAGUUUUAAGGGAUUUCAAAGCACAAAUUCUGCCAGGAAGGAUCUUAAGGUUUUUGCAGCUUUUCAUAUUUAAUAAAACAAGCCCUCGGAGAUACCCAACCGAUGAGGGAAGUUCAAUGAUAGCAGUGGCUUCCAAAUUAAGCUCCAAUAAAGACUCCAUAUUGGCUUCGAUGUCUGGAAACUUCUCAAGUCUUGAGCAGCCAGAAAGGUUAAGAACUUUAAGAGAUUCCAAUCCAGUGAUUCUGGGAAAACAGUGAAGCAUUUUGCAGUUUCCCAAAUUCAACGUCUUAAGAUUUUUCAGCCUAGCAAUUGAUGGGUGCACCUUAUGCAAACUUGUACAACCAUCAAGAUUUAGUGUCUCCAGAGAUGGUGCACCAGACACGUCCGGACAUUCAACCAGGCAUGGAGAGUGACUGAGAUCCAUGACCUUCAAAUUUUCAAGACACUGUAACAUAAAAAUAAAAUAAAAAUUGUUGAAUAAAUUUUCUUGGAAGAACUUCAAAAUUUAUUGAGAAUAAGUAGUGAUCAUACCUUGUUCCCUUUCCAAAGGUGUUUUAAGCUGCUAUGCUUCAAAGUGAUUUGAACCAGUUUCUUACCAUCAAAAUUUGAGGGCAACGAUUCCAAACUCCAUCCAUCCCAAUGAAGAUAUCUUAAUUCAUAGGAAGGAAAUUUGAAUUCUUGAGGGAGGUGCACUGUGUUAGAACCAUAUGAUGAAAGUCCAUCCCAAUAGACCCUGAGGAGUCUUAAGUUUUGUCAUAUUUUUAAAAGCUCUAGUCGUAAACUGUAUUUCUAUUGAUGCCGACAUAUCAAAGGAUAUUCCUUGGAUUGCCUUUGUCCACUAAAACCAACAACAGGGGAUAAGUGAAGCACAAAAUGCUUAAAAUCAUAUACAUAAGCAACUUCUUUAAGUGAAAUUAAAUGCCUUAAAAGUUUAAAUAAGUUCAGGCACUUGGCUCUUACCGUAUUUUGUGUCAACACAGCAUGGACAUCUUCAUGGAUUCCACAAUCUACUCCAUUUGCCAGGUCUUCCAGGAAAUUCUUCCUUAAUGAUUUCCCAACCCAUUUUUUGCAUCAAAUCAUGCAUUUCUAUCUUGUUGUCUAAAAUACUAAUGAGAGAACGAUCUUUGAGAACUUUCAUUCCAUUUGCAGAGAAGUUGCAACUAUCAAGUAUUCUUCCAACAGAAUCUGAGUCCUUCCCUCUGAAGAAGCAUGCAAUAUCAAGGAAUAGAUCCUUUUCUGUGCUAUCCAGUCCAUCGAAACUUACUCUAAGCAUUUGUUGGAUUCUCCUGUCCCCUACUGUUUGUUGCUUAAGCAGUGCAUUUUCCCAUGCAAGCUCCGUCUUGCCACGCAGGAAAAGUCCCAGAACUUUAAGAGCUGCCGGAAGUCCAUCACAGUAAUUUAAUGCAUGUCCGGAGAGCUCCCAAAAACCUUCGUCAGGAAAGUCUGCCUUGAACACAUUCAAACUAAACAGUUGAAGAGCUUCCUCAACUUUUAAUUUCUGAACCUCAUAUAAUCCAUCAACUCCAUACCCAUCUAGUAAAUGUUUGUCUCUCGUUGUUAUGAUAAUCCUACUACCUGAACCAAACCAUUGAUGGCUCCCUGCCAACAAUUCUAAUUGAGUCAAAGCACUAACAUCAUCGAGAAUGAUAAGAACCUUUCUAGAGAAAAGUGUCUUCUUUAUCAAGCUAAUGCCUUCAUGAAUGUUGCUUAUGUGUACAAAAUUUUCCCGUAGGAUAUCUGCUAGAAGUUGUCUUUGUAGUUCAAGCAAUCCAUGCCUUUCCACUGCCUCUGCAACAUGUGGCAAAAAGCUAGCAUCUUCAAAUUGAUGAGCAAUUUGGUUGUAUAUUCCUUUGGCGAGGGUAGUCUUGCCUAUUCCAGCAAUUCCAUAUAUUCCUAUAAUGCGAACAUCAUUUGACUCCAUACAUAAUAGUGACGACAUUUCUUCCAAACGGGAAUUGAUUCCUACCAGAUGGUCAUCAAUAGUUAAGAGUUCAGGAUGACUGAUCAGCUUUUUGGAAAUGUGUCGAACAAUUCCUUUAAUAAUCUGAGAUUCGUACCUGCCAAAUAAAAAGCACAAUAUACGAACCACAAAUUAAUUGUAAGAAAGGCAGGGAAAAAAUUAAAAUGAUGAUGUUUAAUUUCAAUAUUUGUCAUGCUAUCAAUUGAUUUAUCCUAAUGCCUAAUUCUGAUCAAUAUUACUAUCAUGGAGACAAACUCAAAACGCAUAUGACUAACUGGAAUGGGCAGAGCACAUAUAUAUCCAAAAGAAUUGAUGUUAUAUAUAUGUAUAUAUAUAUUUCCCUUUGAGGCUCUCUUUAUGAAAUAAAUAAAUAACAAUAUAUUGGACUCUAUAUUUUUUCCUUGAUCAUAUUUUCAACUUUUUUUUUUUUUAAUAAAUGAUGAGGAGCUUUUGAUAAUGCAAGAAAUUUUAAAAUAAUUUCUAUUAUAUUUGAUUUUCGUUUCUAUUCUUCAUUGCCUUUAAUUUUCUUGACAAUUUCCAUUUGAAUAGUGGAUCCUGUCCUUGAAGGUAAGGAUCAUUUCAACCCACGAGAGUUUGUUUAAUGAUGUGAUUUAAAAACACUUUUCUUUUUUUGAUGAUAAAAAACUAUUUUAAAAAAUUUAUGGUUGGCUUAGAAGUCAUUCUCUAGAUAUUGUUUUCAAAAAUAAGUUGAAAUAAAUAAUAAUUUUCAAGGAACCCGUAGAAGUUAUUUUCACAUGUUUAUAAAAACAAAAAAAAAAAACAUGGAGAAAUAAUUUUAUUAAACCAAUAAAAGGCACAUAAGUAUGAUGUGAUCUCUUUCUUCUUUGAUUCUUUCUUCACCAAUAAAUAUCAAAAUUCUUUAAAUAUGAUUUAUUUCUUAAUUAUAUGUGCUUUUUUGAAUUUUCUUUAACUUCUUAAAUUUUUAAUUAGAUAAAAAAAUUUCAAAUCAAAUAAUACUUAAUACAUAUGAUUUACUAAUUUUUAAAAAUAAUUUAAAACUCAAAAACCAAUCCAAUUAGUGUUAGAAAGUUAGUGAACUCAAUCUAAUUGACAUCAGAAAUUCACAUACUAAUCUUCAUUAUGAAUUACUUUGUUAGUUUCUCUUUUACAUAUGAAUAUAUGUUUGUUAAUUUUUCUUUUUUACUAAGUAAAUAAAUUUCAAAUCAAAUGAAACUUUAUGUUUUUUAUUUAAAAUUCACAUACUAAACUCUAUGUUUUGCUAAUAAUUUAAAACUUAAAGUAAUUACUUAAUUAAUAUAAUAAAUUUGUGGACAAAAAUUAGUUUACAAUCAUUUUAUUCUUUCCCUUCUACACAGAACCAUAAUUUUUUUUUUAAAAUUUCUAACUAAACAAACAUAUUUCAAAUCAAACAAGAUUUGAUGCAUUGGAUUCAUUACCAAGUUUAUUAAUUUUUUUUAGAAUAAUUUAAAAUUCAAAACACAGCACAAUUGCUAGUGGAAAUUCACAAACUUAAAUUGGUCCAAAAUGAAUAUUUUAUUUUUCUCAUACAAAACUAUAUUUUUAUGAGUUUUAUCACUAGAAAAAUGGAUUUUGAAUAAAAUAAAACUUAAUUUCUUGAACUUAUUAAUGAGUUUAAUAAUUUUUAAAAAUAAUUUAAAAUUCAAGAAAUUUUCAAAUCACUAUAAAAAAUAACCAAAACUAAUACAUAAUAAGUUUUGACUUUAUUAUUUCUUCUAAGCACCUAAUUAUAUUUUUUGAAUUUUAUCACUAGGUAAAUAGAUUCUAAAUCAACCGAGACUUAAUGUUUUAAAUCUUUAAUAAAUCUUCUUACUUUUAAGAUAAUUUGAAAUUAAAAAAAAUGAUCUAAUUAAUUGUAGAUUAAACCAAAACUAAUCCAAAAUACUAUGUACAUAAGUGAAUACUAAAGGUGUAGAUGUAAUGAAAAACUUUGCAUAUUUAAAUAUUAAAAAAAUAUUUAAAUUUAUUUAUUUUUAUUUAUUUUAAAUAAACUACUAUGAAUUUAAAAUUAUUAUAUUUUUUUUGAAUAAUAAAUCCAUUAUGCUUUAGAAAGAUGUUGAGAUCCAGAUUUUUAUAAUAUAUAUUAAAAUACUAUCAUUUUAUAUAUAUAUAUAUAUAUAUAUAUAUAUAUGAAAAAGAUUUUAAUACUAAAGUACUAAAAAUGAUUUGUUUUUAAAUUUAUUUGUAAUUAUAAAACUAUUAGUACUGAAUAAAAUAUGAAUUCAAUUUCAUUAAUAUUAUAUAUAAAUUGAAUUAACAAAUUUUUUGACAAAAUUUAAAUAGUAAAUUUAUUUUUAAAAAUAAUUUAUCCAAAUGAGUAUUUUUUUUUUUUUAUUUGUUGAAAAGUGAUUUUAAAAGCAAGUUAUCAAGUACCAUUGUUUUUGAAAAAUACUAAAAAAUAUGGUAUUUGUUCUUUAAUUUAAAAAUAUAUUUUAAAAAUAAGUAUAAAAGUACAGUGCUAAACCGAUCUUAAAAUUUGAAUAUGUACAAAGCAUAUAGGAGGUGAGCAAUCAGGAAUACAAAGAAUUGACUAAGAUUCCAUUAAACAGUUUUUUUUCAAGAAGCACUCAAAGUAAAUUUUUAAUUUUUUUAAAAUGGUUAAAUUUUUGUUCAAAAACAUUUUUUUUUUUUCAAGUCUGCUUUCUAAACUCACUGCCAAAAUUAGUCAUGCUUUUAGGAUUUAAAAAUUAAACUCAGUUCCAACAUUGAAAAUCAAACAUGAAUAUCGUUGAUUAAUGAAAGAUUAAUUGAGAAUUCAGAUAUUAUAAAUGAAUGAGAGCAACUGAAACGGAAGAGAUGGAGUAGUUACAUACCCAUGCUCCACAUGCCAUCCAGCCAGAGAGCCAGCUUUCGUCAGUGCCGCCUUCCAUCUCUGCACCCUCUCCUCAGCGACUUCUCCGUAUCCUGCAAAUGCUUCUCCAAAACUGCCCCUUUGUUUCCGCACAUCAGACGGAUCCACAUGGUAGAAAACUGGUAAAACUAAUUGUCCCUUUUCCAUGGACUGCAUGAUCUUAUCAAGCUCAUCCAAGCACCAUUUUGAAUGAGCAUAGUUUUUCGAAAAAACGACAACAGAAAUACUUGAAUCUUCAAUAGCUUUCAAGAGUGAAGGUUGAAUCUCUCCUCCUCUUUCAAGUCCUUCAUCAUCUCUGAAGGUGCGAAUACCCGUCCGUCUCAACUUUUUAUAAAGAUGAUCCGUAAAAUUGAAACGGGUGUCUUCGCCUCUAAAGUUCAAAAAGACAUCCCAACGCCAUGGAAAAGGAGGAGAGAGAGUUGAUCUAGUUAAGCUUCUCUUUCUCUUUGGAGCCAUAGUCGGGGACGUUGUUUGUCCAAAAUUACAGAGACACUCAGGAAAUUUUUGGGUUGUUAAGUGUCAAAAACUCAAAAUUUCAAGAGAGUCAGAAGAUUUAUCCCUCUACCUUCUAAAAUUGGAACUUCCUCCCAUCCUCCGACCAACUUUAAUCUUCAUUUUUUCUUUUUAAAAAACGCGUGUCUUGGUCAAAAAGAAAAAACGUGUGGGGACGCUGAAUGGGGCAAAAUCCUCUCUUAAACGACUACAUCGUUUUAAAAAACGAAAAAACAAAGAAUUAAAACAGAUGAAAUAAUCCCGCUAACCUCCUACAAUUCCAUAAUUACCCCUUAGGUGACCCCCCUUUUCCCUGUUAGGGACAAUUUUACUCAAGGUCUUACUUAAAUACCAUUAUUGGUUUGAAAAUUUAUCAAAUAUCAUAAUUAUUUUGAAUUAGAAGGGAGUUCAGUGAAAAAUCAAAUAAGAAGGAUUUGAGAGAUGUGUGAUGAAAAUUUCAAAUCAAUAAAAAUUAAAUGUAUUUAGUUAAAACCUUAUAAAGAGUCUAUAAAAUUAACUUUUUUUAACUAUUUUAGAAUGGCGAUAUAAGCCAACCCUCUUUUUUGUCAAAUCCAUGUAAAAAAAAUAUUGAGUUUGCCCUCUUCCAUUAAAAUAAUAUUCUAAAUUUAUUAUUAUUAUUAUUAUUAUAUAAAGUAUAACCUCUUUUUAAUUUAUUUGAAUAUAUUUAUAAAUAAAAAAUCUGUUUGGCUCUUUAUGAAAAAUAUAAAUAAUUUUGAAAUAUUUAUAAUUUUAUUAAAUGUCUGGAAAUGAAUUUUAGCUAAAUAAAGGAUAAAAUGCUGUUUUAUUAUUUUCUCAUCAUGUGAUUAAUUGGCAGUUGAAAAAAUAGUGAAAAAAAAAUAAUAACAAAAUACUAGAAAGGACAGUCUUCUAUUUUGUAAUAAAAUAAUGAGAUUGAAUUCUCAAUAUCAAAAAACCCCUCUGAUGUUACUAAAAUUAUAUUGUUAGAUAAUUAUAUACUUUUGUAAAUAUAAAUAUUAUCCAUUUAUUUAUCAAAUUAUAAAAAUAUUAUUAUUAUAGUGAAUAAGUUUCCUUAUUUAUUUCAAACUUCAUAAAAUAAAUCAUAAAUUAAAAAAGAAAAAACAGUUCAUCUUUUCCUAUCCAUUUAUUUAUCUAUAUAUGUGUGUGACUAUGAAUAUAUUUAUUUGGAUUUCUAUAAUGUGGAAGAGCAUGUUUGAAGACUCUUUCUUAUAUUUUCGUCAGGGUGGCUGAAAUGAUCCGAGAAUUGCGUUUAUCAAUGUUUAGAUGAUGAUAUUUGGUGAGGUUUGGAUGGUGAUGGUGAUGGUGAUGUUACUCGACAAUAGAGAAUCCACAUCUCAACAUCAGGAGCAAAGGUAAGUUCUCAUCGCAUGCUUUGCUUGAUCUCCACCAAGUGCCCAUCUCAUUAAACAAAUGGGUUAGAUGAUAAACUAUAUUUAAUUCCCGUAUUUGUGAGCCCAAAGGCAAUCCUUGAGUCCAGAAUAGAAAAAUAAGGUUGCUUCAAACGUAAAGUUAUUGCUAACGACCGUUUCUUUAGGAAUAUUUUUUUUCUGACAAGUGGGUCUCUAUAUAUUAAGAGAUUAGAAAACAAAAUAGAAUGGGUUGGAGACCAUUGGAUAUGCUUUUGUCCUCUCCAAUCAAGAGAGGGUUAGUCAUGGGGCUCAAACUUAAUGGCUAUAUCAUAAGAUUGGCUGUAUGGAAGCUAGCUGUAUCAAAGCGACAACCACUUCAUGGGUUCCACUGGAGUAAUUUGAUUUUAAGUUAUUUAAUAUCUACUUAACCCAAUCUGAAGCUUUAAUAUACUACCAUCUAAGUGAUGAAAUUUUCAUCUGUUUCUUUCAUCAGUGCCAGUGCCAGGUUAAUUUUCGGAUUCUAUGUUCCGCUUCAUCCUUGAAGCAUACGCAAUUAAAUAUAGUUGGAUUGGUAGUGGGGGUUCCUCUUAAGGUAUUAGUUUAAAAUAAAAUUUUAUUAUUCUACAAAGAGCAUGUCAUAGAGCUUUGAUCGGGUCUUGCCCGGAUUCCAGUACAACGCUUGGACUGGAAAAAGCUAAAAUAUAAUAUAACACAAAACGUAAUAUUUUUUAUAAAUUAUUCAUUUAUUGAAAAAUCAAUAACUUCAUUAAGAUAAUAAUUUCUCUGGAUCUCAAAAGUAUUAUUUAGAAUUAUAAUAGACAAAAUGUAAUAGGAAAAGUUUAUAAUAAGAAAUAAAAUAAUAUUUUAUAUUUUAUAUUUAGUUCUUUAUAACAUAUUUAAUCAUAGGAUAAGUCCCAACAUAACUUAUCUAACAUCACCUCUAUAUUCCUCCUCAUAAAAUAUAAUAAUCAAAGUUGAAUGCAUAUCUUAUAUCUUAUGAAUCCUCAAAAUUUUUAAUUUUGAUGUCAAUUAUUUUUUGUAUAGUUAAGAUAAAGAAAUUUGAAUAUUAAUAUUUUAAAAAAUAAUAAUUUAACAUAUUUCCAAAUAUCUAAAAAUACAAAUUUUUUUUCCUAUUUAUAUAAUGAAGAUAAUAAUUCAAAAGCUAAUAAUUUAAAAGAACAAAGUAAUUUAAUAUGUUUUGAAAUAUGAAAUAUCCCAAAAUUGGUUACAAUAAUUAAAAUUUUAUAAUAUUUAGUGAUUUAAUUGAUUAGUAAAUUGGUCAUUGGUUAAUAAUCUAUAUUUUCCUAUUUUAUAUAAUAAAGAUAUGAUAUUUGAAAAUUAAUAAUUUGAAAAAAAAAUAAUUUAACAUAUUUCAAGAUAUAACAAAAUAGCAAAAUUGAUUACAAUAACAAAAUGUUGGUUAAUGAUUAGUAAUGUAAUUAAUAAAAAAAAUUGAUAAUUGGGUAAUAAUUAUUGUUCCUAAUAAGGUGUCAUCCUAAAAAAAUAUUAAAUCCUUGUAAGUUAAAUUUCAUUAAUUACUUAUUGAUUUUUGUUAAUAAAAUAUGUGUUCAUGAAAUUAAUUUAUUAAUUUCUUGUUCUUAAUUUAAGGAAGGGUAUCAAAUCUUACGAUUUUUUUUAAUUAAUUGGAAUAGUUUAUUCUAGUAGAUAUUUAUAACAUUAUGAGUUGUGUUUUGAACUUCUAACUGAAGAAAAUUCAUUGAUUAUGAGACAAAAAUAUUAGUUUAUGUGGUUGAAUCUUAGUUUGAAUCUUGGAAUUUUAUGGACAUAUUUUAGAUUUGUUUCUUAAUUUAGGACAAAGAUAAAACAUUUUAUAUUUUCCAAAGUGGAAAAACAAACAUUUAUGUUUAAGUUUUAAAGAAGAAAUAUAAACAAGCGUAAGCAAUUAUAUAGUCAAGAAAAUAAACAAGCCGAGAGCAACCUGAGAGCUCAUGGAAAACAAUUGUCUCAAUUUCUUAUUAUUUUUUAUUAUUAGGUGCAAAAUUCUUCGGCAAAAAUCUUGUAGUUGUCUUACAUGCCACCUUGCUAAAAAGUAUAUAAUUAAGUUGAAAAAUAAAGUCUUGGUCAAAAUAAAAAAGCAUGUGGGGGACCUUGUCUCAAAUCAAAAACAAAGGAAAUGAUGUGCGGGGACCUUCAAUGGGGGCAAACUAGUCUAUAAUUAUUCUUUCGCUCAUGCAUUUAUUAUCUUUCUCAAUGUUUUUAGAAUUGGAUUAGAGUUCAAUAAUCUGAAUUAAAUUUUUAGUAGUGAUGUGCCUUGUGGUUAAUUUAACCUCACAAUGAGGUGUUUCACAUAUUUGUGGGAAUAACCAUCCAUAUAUAGUCUAAGGAGACUUGGGAUAUAUUGCAAGUAACACAUGAGGGCUCAAUACCGUGAAAAUAUCAAAACUUCAAAUGCUCAUGGCUGCUUUUGAGUUGAUUCACAUGGCAAUCGGGUAAGAUAUGCUUGAUUAGGAUGGCAAUCGGGUAUGUUUGGAUGUGCCACCCUCAUCCUAAUUCCAUCCUAAUUAUAUAUAUUAUAACAAAAAACAAGAAGGCUUUCUGCUUUCCCAAUAAAUCGAAAAGGAUAACUACAAUUUUAUUUAGAUGCACAAAUUAGCAGCAAAACCUUGAAACUAUGAAUCAAUUUUGUCUAUAUUUUUCUCCAAAAAAUCCUACUUAACGUAAUCAUAGCACAUAUUGUGGGAAUUCCUGACUGAAUAACCAUUCCAAGUUGAGAUGCCCCAUAAAUUGUAAGAUAGUAAAUCUGAAAAAUACCAUUCAGAAAUUACUGAUAAUGGGGCAUAAAUUCUGCAGCUUCAGAUAUAUUAUGUCUAAAUAAGAAGACAAAAAGGAAUCCAAUUAUUAAAAUAGAUAAACGUUUCAAACUGAAAAAUGAAAAUUUAGUAAGCAUGAACCACUCUCUGAAGUCGGUGUGUGAUAAUGGGGAAGGUGAUAAAAAUAGUGUGUGAAUGCAACUUAUAGCUGGUCUUGUUCUUGCUUUUAGCUGAUCUUAUAGUUAAAAUAGUGUGUGAUCGCCCCUAGAUGCCUAGAGUAUUGGCUGAAGGAGGAGAGAAAAGGAAGGACAUCAACUUUCAUAAACGUUAAUCUUCUCCCAGAUGUGUCAUUCUUGAUUACUCUAUUAGAGGUAUUUUAGCAGUCCAUAGUGUGUAAAAUGGUCAAUUCCUUUGUUCAGACAUUUAAUCCAAAUAGUGAAUUUCAAGUGUAGGGGUUUCAAAUUCUCAAAUCCUAAAAAUCCAGAACAAUGUUGCUGAGCACAUUUAAUAUUUUUGUUAAAUAGCACAAAGAAAAAAAGAAAAGAAAAUUGAAAAAAAAAAAAGAAAAAAAAGAAAUCCUCCCAAAGAAUUAAUUUCAGUUGCUUCAAUAACUUUGGCGUACGGAAGUGAGGAGAGAAACAGAGGUGACUUAUCAUUAAUUAUUUUGGCGUACGGAGCCAUUCCUGGUGGCACUUCGGAAAUUUUCCAUAUUGUUACCACUUGUAUUUGGGGCAUAUAUAAGACGGAUCGCACACUUUUUCACCUCAUGCGAUGCCCCUGAUAGACUAAAAGAAGCCUCGAUGUGCUUGAACACACUGGCAUAGGUAGACUUUGAUUUCACAAAUUGACUGCGAGGUUGAUACAUCAUACACACGUGAUCCGUCUCAACAACUCGGUCUCCACUGUGUGUCCAAGUGAUGGAAUGACUGAAAUAAGGCCCUUCCCCGCAUUCAAAAAUACAGCGAAUCUCACCAGGCCGCUGAAUAGUUUCGCCCUCCUCAAGUGCAAACACAGCACAUAGAGCAACCCCCAAGAAGUUAUUGUCAAGCCAAUGUGGACGCAGGGUUGCUGAAACUGAAGCUCCCAUAUUCUCAUGCCAGCGCCCCUUUGGAAUCCUACUUCCAGGAAUCAAAAUACUGUACCCUAUUUCUGGAAAAAGUUUCUGCACCAUGCAGUUUAUAAUGUUAAUAUAAUAAUACCAUUGAGAGAGAGAGAGAGAAAGAAAGAAAGAGAGAGAGAGAGAGAGAGAGAGACCUGAUGAAGUGUCUCUAAUGCCAUUGCCACAUGAUCCUGAUAUAGUCCGGAGCAAUUCCAUAGCAUGAAUUCCACAGGACGAAGCCAAGUGGAAACCAACCGGUGUUGUAGGCUUAUCAUCCAAGAUGGAGUCGAUAAAGACCUCAGGGAUGUGCAAUCACAGGCAUCUAAUAAUUUUAUGUUUGGUGGAAGCUUCGGAAUUUUUUGAAGUUUCUCACACUGCCUCACCAAAAGAACUUUCAGAUUAGAAAGUCUACUGAUGUCUGCAGGUAUGCUAACCAUAUAGUUUCUGCUGAGGUUUAAUACUUCCAGAAGCUCCAAGUGGCAAAGCUUGUUAUCGAUUGUUCCUUCCAUUAAAUUGCAGUCACUUAGAUCUAAAUUUUUCAUGAAGCGUAGACCUGACAAAGAAGGCAAC
rnacentral:lncRNA from 1 species